CAACGAAACGAGAACCAGAUGUAAACAUUGUGUAAUCGAAACAAUUUUGUGUUGUUACAGAUAAUACAUGAUUUCGAGUUACCAGAAGGCUUACUGAAACAAGGGUUUCGGGUAAAAUCAGACUGACCGGACGAAAGCAGAAAAAGCGAAGUCAACUGAGUGCGCUGUCAACUAGUGGAGCGAUAUCGAUUAGCCCAGCAAGCACCAUGGACAAGUUUGACAUCCCGCCGUUUAAGUUCAAACAAAUGCCGCCAAAUGAAGUGCGCGAGGAGUGGACUCGCUACAAACGAAACUUCGAGUACAUGGCUCUGGCGAACGCAGUGACGAAUAAGACCAGGCUGAAGCAUAUCUUCCUCGCCCGAGCUGGAGUCGACG